rnacentral:rRNA from 1 species
UACGUAGGGGGCAAGCGUUGUCCGGAUUUAUUGGGCGUAAAGAGCGUGUAGGCGGCCAUGCAGGUCCGUUGUGAAAACUCGAGGCUUAACCUCGAGACGCCGGUGGAAACCGUGUGGCUAGAGUCCGGAAGAGGAGAGUGGAAUUCCUGGUGUAGCGGUGAAAUGCGCAGAUAUCAGGAAGAACACCCGUGGCGAAGGCGGCUCUCUGGGACGUGACUGACGCUGAGACGCGAAAGCGUGGGGAGCAAACAGG